ACACUCCUCCGGGAGGCAGCAGUGGGGAAUUUUGGACAAUGGGCGAAAGCCUGAUCCAGCAAUGCCGCGUGAGUGAAGAAGGCCUUCGGGUUGUAAAGCUCUUUUGUCAGGGAAGAAACGGUGAAAGCUAAUAUCUUUUGCUAAUGACGGUACCUGAAGAAUAAGCACCGGCUAACUACGUGCCGGCAGCCGCGGUAAUACGUAGGGUGCAAGCGUUAAUCGGAAUUACUGGGCGUAAAGCGUGCGCAGGCGGUUUUGUAAGUCUGAUGUGAAAUCCCCGGGCUCAACCUGGGAAUUGCAUUGGAGACUGCAAGGCUAGAAUCUGGCAGAGGGGGGUAGAAUUCCACGUGUAGCAGUGAAAUGCGUAGAUAUGUGGAGGAACACCGAUGGCGAAGGCAGCCCCCUGGGUCAAGAUUGACGCUCAUGCACGAAAGCGUGGGGAGCAAACAGGAUUAGAUACCCCUGUAGUCCCAUGAU
rnacentral:rRNA from 1 species